rnacentral:rRNA from 1 species
CGGAGGGAAACCGAGUCUUAAUUGGGCGUUAAGUUGCAGGGUAUAGACCCGAAACCCGGUGAUCUAGCCAUGGGCAGGUUGAAGGUUGGGUAACACUAACUGGAGGACCGAACCGACUAAUGUUGAAAAAUUAGCGGAUGACCUGUGGCUGGGGGUGAAAGGCCAAUCAAACCGGGAGAUAGCUGGUUCUCCCCGAAAGCUAUUUAGGUAGCGCCUCGUGAAUUCAUCUCCGGGGGUAGAGCACUGUUUCGGCUAGGGGGCCAUCCCGGCUUACCAACCCGAUGCAAACUGCGAAUACCGGAGAAUGUUAUCACGGGAGACACACGGCGGGUGCUAACGUCCGUCGUGAAGAGGGAAACAACCCAGACCGCCAGCUAAGGUCCCAAAGUCAUGGUUAAGUGGGAAACGAUGUGGGAAGGCCCAGACAGCCAGGAUGUUGGCUUAGAAGCAGCCAUCAUUUAAAGAAAGCGUAAUAGCUCACUGGUCGAGUCGGCCUGCGCGGAAGAUGUAACGGGGCUAAACCAUGCACCGAAGCUGCGGCAGCGACACUGUGUGUUGUUGGGUAGGGGAGCGUUCUGUAAGCCUGUGAAGGUGUGUCGUGAGGCAUGCUGGAGGUAUCAGAAGUGCGAAUGCUGACAUAAGUAACGAUAAAGCGGGUGAAAAGCCCGCUCGCCGGAAGACCAAGGGUUCCUGUCCAACGUUAAUCGGGGCAGGGUGAGUCGACCCCUAAGGCGAGGCCGAAAGGCGUAGUCGAUGGGAAACGGGUUAAUAUUCCCGUACUUGGUGUUACUGCGAAGGGGGGACGGAGAAGGCUAUGUUGGCCGGGCGACGGUU